rnacentral:tRNA from 1 species
UAAAUUUUAGUUUAAAUUAAAAUGAUUCAUUUACAUUGAAUAGACUUUAUAACAGGUAAAAAAUUUAA